GAGAUCUUUGAAACCUUUCCUGAGCACUGAAGAUAAUAAAUGUCUGGGCCUGAAUCUUUAUCGACAUAAAUUUGUUAAUGAAGAUUAUGUAUGCAAGAGGUCAUGUAUGCUAAGGAGAAGAGGAAAAUAUUUAUAUCUCCUGUACAACUUGAAAAAAGGGGCAAGUGUUAACAGAAAAAGGCUUUAGCUACAAGAAUCAGUAAAAGUGGACAAUUUAUCUCUGCACAUCUCAUGCUUAUGAAGUAAAGGGUAUUGUUGGGAAGGUGUUAGAGGCUUGGAGCACCUCUCCUAUUAAGACAGGACAAGAGUUGGAAUUUUUCAGCCUACAGAAGAGAAUUUUCCAGGGAAACCCUAUAUCAGCUAUCCAGUACUUUAAGCAAGGGCCUAGAAAAAAGCUGGAGAGGAACUUUUUACAAGGAUGUGCAGUGACAGAACCAGCGGGAAUGGCUUCAAACUGAAACUGAGUACAUUUUUUUAGAUAUUAAGAAAAAAAUUCUUUGCUGUGAGGUUGGUGAGGCACUGGAACAGGUUGCACAGAGAAGCUGUGAAUGUUCCAUCCCUGGAAGUAUUCAAGGCAAGGGUGGAUGGGACUUUGAGCAGCCUGGUCUAGUAGGAGGUGUCCCUGCCCAUGACACAGGGGUUGGAACUUGAU